UUUAUUCCCAAACUUUUCUUCCCUGUCGAUAACCUUUGUGCCUCCAUCUCUCUCAAUUACCCCAUCUUCUUUACCCUCUCCUUUCCCUCCCACAUCAGUCACCACAUACCAUCUCCGAUCAAGCCGCCACCGCCGACCAACCUAUAAUCUUGCAAUCCCUGCAAGCUUAUAACCCCUAAAUUUUUUAAGUUGCUUUCAUAGACACCAUCCACCAUAUAAGUUAAGGCGCCAUCCACCUCCCAUCGAUCAACCAUCGCCGCCCAAUCACACGUCUGCCUAAGGUGACUCAUUUUACUCCAGGAUUAAAUUAAUUUCUUUCUUGAUUUAUAUUCCUGAUUUGUACAUAUUUUUUUAGCCUUUUUAGGUUUACUUUCCAUAUAGCUAGUCAUUAGAUUUCUCAAUUUAUUAUUAUAUGUAGAUAAAUCAUUCUCCUUAAAGUUGUGUUCAAAAUAAAUUUUCUCUAAUUUCUAAGUAUUAAGCAAAGAAAGUUCAAAAUUUCAAUGUUAUACUGUGCAGCAUGAACUAUAACUCCACUUCAAACAUUCACGGUAAGUUAAAAGGCCAUACCAUAUUUCUGAAUUGUUUUGAUUAAUAAGGGUAUGACUCUUGGCUUGAUAUCAUCUGGCUUCAACACAACCUUUUGGAUAGUAGUAUAAUGUGAAAUGAGACACAUUAAAAUUGGAUAGUAGUAUAAUGUGAAAUGAGAAACGUUAAAAUUGGAUUUUGGGUAAAAAUAAGAGUUUGGGAAGAUAGAAUAGAAACCAAGAUGAUUGUUUUAGGGUGAAGAAAGCACGGGCGGACCCAAGGGGGUCCUGGGGGGUCACUUGAACCCCCCCCCCC
rnacentral:lncRNA from 1 species